AAUUAUUUAAAAAAGAAGGUUUUUUUUAAAGUUUUUUCCCCGUCAGAUGAACGCUGGCGGCAGGCCUAACACAUGCAAGUCGAGCGGAAACGAGUUAUCUGAACCUUCGGGGAACGAUAACGGCGUCGAGCGGCGGACGGGUGAGUAAUGCCUAGGAAAUUGCCCUGAUGUGGGGGAUAACCAUUGGAAACGAUGGCUAAUACCGCAUAAUACCUACGGGUCAAAGAGGGGGACCUUCGGGCCUCUCGCGUCAGGAUAUGCCUAGGUGGGAUUAGCUAGUUGGUGAGGUAAUGGCUCACCAAGGCGACGAUCCCUAGCUGGUCUGAGAGGAUGAUCAGCCACACUGGAACUGAGACACGGUCCAGACUCCUACGGGAGGCAGCAGUGGGGAAUAUUGCACAAUGGGCGCAAGCCUGAUGCAGCCAUGCCGCGUGUGUGAAGAAGGCCUUCGGGUUGUAAAGCACUUUCAGUCGUGAGGAAGGUAGUGUAGUUAAUAGCUGCAUUAUUUGACGUUAGCGACAGAAGAAGCACCGGCUAACUCCGUGCCAGCAGCCGCGGUAAUACGGAGGGUGCGAGCGUUAAUCGGAAUUACUGGGCGUAAAGCGCAUGCAGGUGGUUUGUUAAGUCAGAUGUGAAAGCCCGGGGCUCAACCUCGGAAUAGCAUUUGAAACUGGCAGACUAGAGUACUGUAGAGGGGGGUAGAAUUUCAGGUGUAGCGGUGAAAUGCGUAGAGAUCUGAAGGAAUACCGGUGGCGAAGGCGGCCCCCUGGACAGAUACUGACACUCAGAUCGAAAAGAGCGC
rnacentral:rRNA from 1 species